UGUUGACCUCGGAUCAGGUAGGAAUACCCGCUGAACUUAAGCAUAUCAAUAAGCGGAGGAAAAGAAACCAACAGGGAUUGCCUUAGUAACGGCGAGUGAAGCGGCAAAAGCUCAAAUUUGAAAUCUGGCGACCUCCGGUGUUCGAGUUGUAAUUUGGAGAGGCAUCUUCUGGAGGGGCCCAGCCUAUGUGCCUUGGAACAGGACGUCAUAGAGGGUGAGAAUCCCGUACUUGGCUGGAUGUCCCCUCCUGUAUG
rnacentral:rRNA from 1 species